UACGUAGGGUGCGAGCGUUGUCCGGAAUUAUUGGGCGUAAAGGGCUCGUAGGCGGUUUGUCGCGUCGGGAGUGAAAACUCAGGGCUUAACCCUGAGCCUGCUUCCGAUACGGGCAGACUAGAGGUAUGCAGGGGAGAACGGAAUUCCUGGUGUAGCGGUGAAAUGCGCAGAUAUCAGGAGGAACACCGGUGGCGAAGGCGGUUCUCUGGGCAGUACCUGACGCUGAGGAGCGAAAGCAUGGGGAGCAAACAGG
rnacentral:rRNA from 1 species